GAUGAACGCUGGCGGCGUGCUUAACACAUGCAAGUCGAACGGAAAGGCUCCUGCUUGCAGGGGUACUCGAGUGGCGAACGGGUGAGUAACACGUGGGUGAUCUGCCCUGCACUUCGGGAUAAGCCUGGGAAACUGGGUCUAAUACCGGAUAGGACGAUGGUUUGGAUGCCAUUGUGGAAAGUUUUUCGGUGUGGGAUGAGCUCGCGGCCUAUCAGCUUGUUGGUGGGGUAAUGGCCUACCAAGGCGGAGACGGGUAGCCGGCCUGAGAGGGUGUACGGCCACAUUGGGACAGAGAUACGGCCCAGACGCCUACGGGAGGCAGCAGUGGGGAAUAUUGCACAAUGGGCGCAAGCCUGAUGCAGCGACGCCGCGUGGGGGAUGACGGCCUUCGGGUUGUAAACUCCUUUCGCUAGGGACGAAGCGUUUUGUGACGGUACCUGGAGAAGAAGCACCGGCUAACUACGUG
rnacentral:rRNA from 1 species